AGUCCUGUAACGCAAUGGAUAGCGCGUUGGACUUCUAAUCCAAAAAUCAUGGUUUUAAAUCCCACCUGGGCUG